GGGCGGUUAGCUCAGUGGUUAGAGCGCUGCGUUGACAUCGCAGAGGUCGCUGGUUCAAGUCCAGUACUGCCCACCA
rnacentral:tRNA from 2 species